rnacentral:lncRNA from 1 species
GACGGAGAGACAUGUUUUGUUGGACGGAGGGAGUAGUUGUUUUAUGGGAUGUUGGGAGUAGGUUGUACUUUAGCAAUUUCUUCUAUAUCUUAAUUUGUUUUUUUUUCACAUCUAACAGAUAAUCAUUUCUUUUACAACAAUUUGAGAAUUACUUCAAACACCAACGUCCACUUUUUUACCUCGCAUCAGUUAAAAUUUAAUUUUGGUACGUUUCAGAAAUGGGCUUUAAUUAUAUGCACGAAGGUCUUGAAUAGUAGUCCUCCUGUUCAUUUUUCUUUUCGAAACGGAGAGAAUUUUCCUGGCAUCAAUGCACACAUCCAUCUCCAUCCAGGUUUAUAACGUUCACAAAAAGUUUUAUACCGAACUUUGGCAAAAAAAAAAAGUAAUAAGAGAUUAUUGUGGCAGAAAAGAAAUAUGAUUGUGUUAUUGAAAAACUUUUUCUGAUGAUAUAAUUUUUAUACACAUAUAUUAAAUAUUAUUUAUGCAAUUAUUGAUCAAAGUUUGACUCAAAAUUUAAUACUUCUACAGAACUUAUAGAUCCGGGACAGAGGCAGUAGCAUUUUCCGCCCAAUAAAUAAAGGAGAAGAAUCUAGUCAAGGAUUAAGAGGGAGUUGUAAAAAGAUGAACUGGUCCUAGUA